CGCAGAGCACGGAGGGAAGGAGUGAGCGUGAGAGAAAACGGGAAGAAGUCGGAAAACCAAGAUAAAAUAUUAGCAGUGUGUAAAGACCCCAACACUCUUUUACCUGCCUAAUUUCACUUAAUUAGGCUGCACGUUAGUGCGUCUCUGUGUGUAUUUUUAAAGUCUAUGAGUUACUAAAAAUGCUUAGCUAAAAAUGCAUAGCUUAGCCGCUAUGCUAGCCGAUUUAACGAUGCUAAUCUAUAGACUGUAUAUUAUUAAAUACUAUUAACCGUCUAUGUGCUAACCGCAUAGCUAUUCUGCUAACAAUAGCUGCUAGAAGUUAGCUUGUGUGGCUACUAGAAAAGUGAACCAAGCUUGGACCCAACACAGUAUUCAAGUUCAGAUGGGGCCCCACGGUGACCAGUGAUGAAGAAGUCCUGUGAUGAAGACACAUUUUGGACUGAUGAGAUGUUAGCGCAAUUUGUGACCAGAAAAGCCCUUUCCUGACGAAGAUUUCAGCCUGCUGUUACCCGCUACUCUCCGACACAAGUCGUCUCUCCAGGACAGGAACAGAACUGCGGUGUGAUGGCGCUGCAGCAGAGAGAGAAAGAUCUGGGUGACCAUCUGAAACCAAUUAUGGCGCCGCUGCAGCCACCCAGAAACUCAGUGACGGAUGGGGAUCUUGUAUUUAUAGCUGGGGCUUUAUCUCCAUUCUACGAUCCAUUACAAAGCUGCCUGGAGUCCCAUGGGUGAUCUGCCCUGUCCCCUCUAAUCUGGCCGAGCUGCUGCGAUUCCAUCACUCCCGGCGAACCACACAGAAAGAUUAGUCAGACUCUACAUACAACAGAUGUGUCCAACACUUGAUUUGUGUGUGUUUUAUUGACUCUGGCCAUCUGUUAAUACAGUUGCUGGUUCCUCCUCAUGUGUUUGUUGAUGCACGCAGACAGGGGAGCUGAGUGCCAGAAGAAACAUUCAGCGAAGGAGAGAUGAGAGAGAGAGAGAGAGAGUUAGACAGAGAGAGAAUGGAGUUAGAGG